GUCCACGCCGUAAACUAUGAGAGCUAGCCGUUGGAGAGUUUACUCUUCAGUGGCGCAGCUAACGCAUUAAGCUCUCCGCCUGGGGAGUACGGUCGCAAGAUUAAAACUCAAAGGAAUUGACGGGGGCCCGCACAAGCAGUGGAGCAUGUGGUUUAAUUCGAAGCAACGCGAAGAACCUUACCAGCCCUUGACAUGGUCGGACGGUUUCCAGAGAUGGAUUCCUUCACUUCGGUGACUGACACACAGGUGCUGCAUGGCUGUCGU
rnacentral:rRNA from 1 species